GACGAACGCUGGCGGCAGGCUUAACACAUGCAAGUCGCACGAGAACGCUUUGGCUUUGCCAAGGCAAGUACAGUGGCGGACGGGUGCGUAUCGCGUAAAUAACCUGCCCUCAGGCGCGGGACAAUCACGGGAAACCGUGGCUAAUACCGCACGUCGUCUGGAUCCCGCAUGGGAACCAGAUGAAAGCCUUCGGGCGCCUUUGGAUGGGUCUGCGUUGGAUUAGCUUGUUGGUGAAGUAACAACUCACCAACGCAACGAUCCAUACCUGGUCUGAGAGGACGAUCACCCACACUGGGACUGAGACACAGCCCACACUCCUACCGGAGGCAUCAGUGGGGAAUCUUGCACAAUGGGGUAACCCCUGAUGCAUCCAUGCCGCGUGGAGGAAGACACCCCUAUGGGGCGUAAACUCCUUUUCUGAACGAAUAGACCCCUGUACUUUCAAGGCGCGACGGUAGUUCAGGAAUAAGCACCGGCUAACUCCCUGCCAUCAGCCACGGUAAUACUAGACGGUGCAAGCGUUGUCCGGAAUCACUGGGUGUAAAGGGUGCGCACGCGGGGCACCCAGUCGGAUGUGAAACCCCAUCGAUCAACUAUGGAGUAGCAUUCGAAACUGUUGCUCUAGAGUCCAGGAGAGGCUGUCGGAAUUCGUGGUGUAGCGGUGAAAUGCGUAGAUAUCAGGAGGAACACCAGAGGCGAAAGAGGACAGCUGGAUGGGUACUGACGGUCAGGCACGAAAGUGUGGGGAGCAAACAGGAUUAGAUACAGUGGUAGUCCACGCCGUAAAGGAUGAAUGCUGGCUGUUGCCUAGUUAGGGGGCAGUGGAUAAGUAAGAGCGUUAAGCAUUCCACCUGGGGAGUACGAUCGCAAGGUUGAAACUAAAAGGAAUUGACGGGGGCCCGCACAGGCGGUGGAGCAUGUGGCUCAAUUCGAUGAAACGCGAAGAACCUUACCUAGGCUCGAACGCUAGAGGACCGCUCGUGAAAGGGAGCUUCCCUUUUGGGGCCUCUAGCGAGGUACUGCAUGGCUGUCGUCAGCUAGUGUGGUGAGAUGUUGGGUUAAGUCCGGCAACGAGCGUAACCCGUGUUGCUAGUUACCAUCGGGUAAUGCUGGGGAGUUUAGCGAAACUGCAUGCGCAAGCAGUGAGGAAGGUGGGGAUGAGUGUCAAGUCAUCAUGGUCCUUACGCGUAGGGAUGCACACGUGAUACAAUGGCCGGUACAAUGAGCAGCCACCUCGUGAGAGGGAGAGAAUGUUUGAAAAACCGGUAGCCAGUUCGGAUGGGAGUCUGGCAACUGUACUCCAUGUAAGCAGGAAUGGCUAGUAAUGAGCGGAAUCAGCUAAGGCAGGGGUGUAAUCGGUUCUCUGGGCCUCGUACGCACCAGCCCGUCUAGCCGUGGAAGAUGAGUGCGCCAGAAAGUCCGUUACUCAAAUCCAGCGAUGCGUUGGAGGAGAAGCGGCACGAGAGUGUGCGUUCAGGUGAACGUGAGUCGU
rnacentral:rRNA from 1 species